rnacentral:rRNA from 1 species
UACGAAGGGGGCUAGCGUUGUUCGGAAUCACUGGGCGUAAAGGGUGCGCAGGCGGGGGAUUCAGUCAGGGGUGAAAUGCCGGGGCUCAACCCCGGAACGGCCUUUGAUACUGAUCCUCUUGAGUCCGGAAGAGGUGGGUGGAACUGCGAGUGUAGAGGUGAAAUUCGUAGAUAUUCGCAAGAACACCGGUGGCGAAGGCGGCCCACUGGUCCGGCACUGACGCUCAAGCACGACAGCGUGGGGAGCAAACAGG